rnacentral:rRNA from 1 species
UACGAAGGGGGCUAGCGUUGCUCGGAUUGACUGGGCGUAAAGGGCGCGUAGGCGGUUCGUACAGUCAGAUGUGAAAGCCCCGGGCUUAACCUGGGAACUGCGUUUGAAACUGGGAGACUUGAGUGUGGCAGAGGGGGGUGGAAUUCCACGUCUAGCAGUGAAAUGCGUAGAUAUGUGGAGGAACACCGAUGGCGAAGGCAGCCCCCUGGGUUAACACUGACGCUCAUGCACGAAAGCGUGGGGAGCAAACAGG